GAUGAACGCUAGCGGCAGGCCUAAUACAUGCAAGUCAAGGGGUAGCAAUACACCGGCGGACGGGUGCGUAACGCGUACACAACAUACCUUUGAGCGGGGGAUAGCGGUGGGAAACUGCCGGUAAUACCCCAUAACACUGCGAGGUGGCAUUACUUUGCAGUUAAAGUUUCGGCGCUCAGAGAUUGGUGUGCGUCUGAUUAGGUAGUUGGCGGGGUAACGGCCCACCAAGCCGACGAUCAGUAGGGGGUGUGAGAGCAUGGCCCCCCACAUGGGUACUGAGACACGGACCCAACUCCUACGGGAGGCAGCAGUAAGGAAUAUUGGACAAUGGAGGGAACUCUGAUCCAGCCAUGCCGCGUGAAGGAUGAAGGCGCUCUGCGUUGUAAACUUCUUUUGAGUGGGAACAAAAACGGGACUUGUCCUGGACUGAGGGUACCACUAGAAUAAGCACCGGCUAACUCCGUG
rnacentral:rRNA from 1 species